rnacentral:rRNA from 1 species
GAUGAACGCUGGCGGCGUGCCUAAUACAUGCCAGUCGAGCGAACAGACGAGGAGCUUGCUCCUCUGACGUUAGCGGCGGACGGGUGAGUAACACGUGGAUAACCUACCUAUAAGACUGGGAUAACUUCGGGAAACCGGAGCUAAUACCGGAUAACAUGUUGAACCGCAUGGUUCAACAGUGAAAGACGGUCUUGCUGUCACUUAUAGAUGGAUCCGCGCCGCAUUAGCUAGUUGGUAAGGUAACGGCUUACCAAGGCAACGAUGCGUAGCCGGCCUGAGAGGGUGAUCGGCCAAACUGGAACUGAGACACGGUCCCGACUCCUACGGGAGGCAGCAGUAGGGAAUCUUCCGCAAUGGGCGAAAGCCUGACGGAGCAACGCCGCGUGAGUGAAGAAGGUCUUCGGAUCGUAAAACUCUGUUAUUAGGGAAGAACAAAUGUGUAAGUAACUAUGCACGUCUUGACGGUACCUAAUCAGAAAGCCACGGCUAACUACGUG